UACGAAGGGGGCUAGCGUUGUUCGGAUUUACUGGGCGUAAAGCGCACGUAGGCGGAUCGUUAAGUCGGGGGUGAAAUCCUGGAGCUCAACUCCAGAACUGCCUUUGAUACUGAGAAGCUUGAGUCCGGGAGAGGUGAGUGGAACUGCGAGUGUAGAGGUGAAAUUCGUAGAUAUUCGCAAGAACACCAGUGGCGAAGGCGGCUCACUGGCCCGGUACUGACGCUGAGGUGCGAAAGCGUGGGGAGCAAACAGG
rnacentral:rRNA from 1 species